AUGCAGAUACUAUCCCUCAUACACAACAAAGAUGGAAAACUAAGUAGCUUGCCCUACCUACCAGCAGAUGUCUCAAACCUCAAGGCAACAUAUCAUAGAGAAAGCAAGUUAGCUGAUGUAGAAGGCACCAUCACCUACUUCAAAGAGAAAGAAAAGGAGGAUCCUGAUUUCUUCUACAGAAUAAGAUUCGACUAUGAGGACCAUGUCAAAAACAUGUACUGCAUGGAUGGUGCAGCACGGAGAGCCUACACGCAUUUUCGUGACUGCAUUUCCUUUGACGUGGCAUAUCUUACGAACAUGUACAAGAUGCCAUGUGAUCCAUUCAUAGGGAUAAACAACCACAACAGUCCUUGCAGUUUGGUUGCGGCCUUGUACAGAACGAAGAUAUCAAUGGCUACACGUGGCUGUUCAAAACCUUCUUGGACUACAUCUAUGGACUUGCUCCAAUGA
rnacentral:rRNA from 1 species